rnacentral:rRNA from 1 species
UAACGCGAAGAACCUUACCAGCCCUUGACAUGGGUAGUAUGGGCAGGAGAGAUCUUGCUCUUCAGUUCGGCUGGCUACCACACAGGUGCUGCAUGGCUGUCGUCAGCUCGUGUCGUGAGAUGUUGGGUUAAGUCCCGCAACGAGCGCAACCCUCGCCUUCAGUUGCCAUCGGGUAGGGCCGGGCACUCUGAAGGAACUGCCGGUGACAAGCCGGAGGAAGGUGGGGAUGACGUCAAGUCCUCAUGGCCCUUACGGGCUGGGCUACACACGUGCUACAAUGGCGGUGACAAUGGGGUGCGAAGGGGCGACCUGGAGCCGAUCCCAUAAAAGCCGUCUCAGUUCGGAUUGUUCUCUGCAACUCGAGAGCAUGAAGGUGGAAUCGCUAGUAAUCGCGGAUCAGCACGCCGCGGUGAAUACGUUCCCGGGUCUUGUACACACCGA